rnacentral:rRNA from 1 species
UUUAUGGAGAGUUUGAUCCUGGCUCAGGAUGAACGCUGGCGGCGUGCCUAAUACAUGCAAGUCGAGCGAACGGACGAGAAGCUUGCUUUUCUGAUGUUAGCGGCGGACGGGUGAGUAACACGUGGAUAACCUACCUAUAAGACUGGGAUAACUUCGGGAAACCGGAGCUAAUACCGGAUAAUAUUUUGAACCGCAUGGUUCAAAAGUGAAAGACGGUCUUGCUGUCACUUAUAGAUGGAUCCGCGCUGUAUUAGCUAGUUGGUAAGGUAACGGCUUACCAAGGCAACGAUGCAUAGCCGACCUGAGAGGGUGAUCGGCCACACUGGAACUGAGACACGGUCCAGACUCCUACGGGAGGCAGCAGUAGGGAAUCUUCCGCAAUGGGCGAAAGCCUGACGGAGCAACGCCGCGUGAGUGAUGAAGGUCUUCGGAUCGUAAAACUCUGUUAUUAGGGAAGAACAUAUGUGUAAGUAACUGUGCACAUCUUGACGGUACCUAAUCAGAAAGCCACGGCUAACUACGUGCCAGCAGCCGCGGUAAUACGUAGGUGGCAAGCGUUAUCCGGAAUUAUUGGGCGUAAAGCGCGCGUAGGCGGUUUUUUAAGUCUGAUGUGAAAGCCCACGGCUCAACCGUGGAGGGUCAUUGGAAACUGGAAAACUUGAGUGCAGAAGAGGAAAGUGGAAUUCCAUGUGUAGCGGUGAAAUGCGCAGAGAUAUGGAGGAACACCAGUGGCGAAGGCGACUUUCUGGUCUGUAACUGACGCUGAUGUGCGAAAGCGUGGGGAUCAAACAGGAUUAGAUACCCUGGUAGUCCACGCCGUAAACGAUGAGUGCUAAGUGUUAGGGGGUUUCCGCCCCUUAGUGCUGCAGCUAACGCAUUAAGCACUCCGCCUGGGGAGUACGACCGCAAGGUUGAAACUCAAAGGAAUUGACGGGGACCCGCACAAGCGGUGGAGCAUGUGGUUUAAUUCGAAGCAACGCGAAGAACCUUACCAAAUCUUGACAUCCUUUGACAACUCUAGAGAUAGAGCCUUCCCCUUCGGGGGACAAAGUGACAGGUGGUGCAUGGUUGUCGUCAGCUCGUGUCGUGAGAUGUUGGGUUAAGUCCCGCAACGAGCGCAACCCUUAAGCUUAGUUGCCAUCAUUAAGUUGGGCACUCUAAGUUGACUGCCGGUGACAAACCGGAGGAAGGUGGGGAUGACGUCAAAUCAUCAUGCCCCUUAUGAUUUGGGCUACACACGUGCUACAAUGGACAAUACAAAGGGCAGCGAAACCGCGAGGUCAAGCAAAUCCCAUAAAGUUGUUCUCAGUUCGGAUUGUAGUCUGCAACUCGACUACAUGAAGCUGGAAUCGCUAGUAAUCGUAGAUCAGCAUGCUACGGUGAAUACGUUCCCGGGUCUUGUACACACCGCCCGUCACACCACGAGAGUUUGUAACACCCGAAGCCGGUGGAGUAACCUUUUAGGAGCUAGCCGUCGAAGGUGGGACAAAUGAUUGGGGUGAAGUCGUAACAAGGUAGCCGUAUCGGAAGGUGCGGCUGGAUCACCUCCUUUCU